rnacentral:misc_RNA from 1 species
GCAAACUUGGUCAUUUAGAGGAAGUAAAAGUCGUAACAAGGUCUCCGUUGGUGAACCAGCGGAGGGAUCAUUACCGAGUGCCCACGCUCAGACCCCGCCGCGGACCCGAGACGAUUUGCUUCGGCGGGAGCCCCCCACCGGGCGCCCGCCGGAGGCCCCACAUGCUAGGCUCUCAGCGGCGUCACGCCGCGCAUGGUCCUCUGAAUUAGCUUCCGAAAUCAGUCAAAACUCUCAACAACGGAUCUCUUGGUUCCGGCAUCGAUGAAGAACGCAGC